AAAACGGGGUAUUUGGCUACAUGAGUAAGUUCUUCAGUGGUGAUUUAUGUGAUUUUGGUGCACCCAUCACCCAAGCAGUAUACACUGAACCCACUUUGUAGGCUUUUAUCUGCCACUCACAUUCCACCCUUUCCGUCUGAGUCCCCAAAGUCCAUUGUAUCAUUCUUACGUCUUUGCAUCCUCAUAGCUUAGCUCUCACUUGUAAGUGGGAACAUACGAAGUUUGGUUUUCCAUUUCUGAGUUACUUCACUUAGAUAAUAGUCUCCAAUUCCAUCCAGAUUGCUGCAAAUGCCAUCAAAUGUGAUGCUUCCAGAUUUGUUAUUUUGCAGUUAAGACAUACAUUAUUUUGGUAAAAAAUUACACAUAAUUUAUAUAUCUAAUUUUUCUAUUUAGGAGAAGAAACAUUUUUUCUUCUACCUAAUCAAUUGACUUCUCUCUCAGCAUAUAAGUAAUAUAUCUCUCUUCAAAAAUUUGUAUUUUGUAUUUUUGGUAGCUAUUCAGGAAGAAAUUAAUCAAAGAUUUAACUGGUUAUUAUUGGCAUACUGGAAUGUGAUUGAUUUUUAUGUUUAUUAUGCAUCUAGAGAGAGAAAAUAUUAUCUAUGAAAGUAAACAGCUUUUUAGUGAAUUUUUUUGGCUUUUUAAAGUAUGCAAUCAUGUACCCUUCACAAAUAAUUUUAUUUGAAUCUCAUUCUGAUAGUAACGUCUGCUUAAUUUCUUAAGAUAACAUAUCUAGGAAAUGGUGAAACUGGACCCAGCACUGGAAUCUGUUGGAGAGAUGAGUCUGUGCUCAGAUGUCCUGUUUAUUCAAGAAUGUUUCAGGCAAGCUCAGGGCAGAUCUGGCAGGUACAGCGUGGCCUGCUGUGGUAGGCAUGGACCCAUUGCUCUAGGCUAAGCAAAUCUCACUUCUCAGGGACUCAUGGGAUCGAGGUAGUUGAUUUCUAAGAAUCUGACCAACUCGAAGAUACUCUGAAAUUGAAUUACAUUGGAAAGGUUAUCUAGAAAGCAUCAAUUUGGGGCAGACUUUUUAGAUAAGAGAAACCGAGUGAUGAGACUUGCUAGAGGAAGGAAGUGUGUGAGGUUGUUAGAGCAGCAGUUAUCACUAAGAACAAAGAAUUGAUAUAAAUAUCUGCUCUUCCUUUUGUUAUGCUGUGUGCCAGGGCAAAAUAGUUGCCUCUUGUUUGGGGGUUCUUCCACACAAAUCUGUGUAAUUAACAUUCUUGUCUAGAUGGUCUUAUCUGAGAAGACUGAAAAGUUCAUGUAUCAUUGCAGUGGUGUUUUAUUGUAUUAACAGCUUAUUGUAACACUCAUUGACCCACUACUGGAAUUCUGUGUAAGGAGAGUGAGCCAGGCAUAACGGUAAAAAACAGAGAAGAGGGAUAAAUGAGCAAGUCAGUGGAAAAAGAGGAAGAGAUUUUUAAAAUGACUUAUCAAUAGAUACAUCCUGCCUGUAAUCCCAGCACUUUGGGAGGCUGAGGCGGGCAGACCACUUGAGGUCAGGAGUUUGAGACCAGCCUAGCCAACAUGGUGAAGCUCCGUCUGUACUAAAAAUACAAAAAUUAGCCAGGUGUGGUGGUGCACACCUGUAGUACCAGGUUCUCAGGAGGCUGAGGCAAGAGAAUUGCUUGAACCCAGCAGGCAGAGGCAUAACAUUAGGCUUAAGACUGUACUCUCUGGAGCCAGACAACCUAGGUUCUUAUUCCAGCUUGCCACUUGACAGUUAUGUGAACUCAGUUUCUUGGUGUUCCCAUCUUUAAAAUGCAGGAUAAUAUGAUUUACUUCAAAGAAUUGUUGUGAAAAGUAAAUGAGUUAAAUAAUGCAAAGGGCUUAGAGACCAUCUCAGGCACAUAGUAACUGGUCAAGUUUUAUUACUAUAAUAGUUCCUAAAAACAUUAAACAUAUACACCAGAUUAGUCACCUUUGCAAAAUGUUCUUUAGCCAGGUGCAGUGGGUCACGUCUAUAAUCCCAGCACUUUGGGAGGCCAGGGUGGGUGGAUCACCUGAGGUCAGAAGUUUGAGACCAGCCUGACCAAAAUGGAGAAACCCUGUCUCUACUAAAAAUACAAAAUUAGCCAGGCAUGGUGGUGCAUGUCUGUAAUCCCAGUUACUUGGGAGGUUGAGGCAGGAGAAUCACUUGAACCCAGUAGGCAGAGGUUGGAAUGAGCCAAAAUCACACCACUGCACUCCAGCUUGGGCAACAAGAUCGAAACUCUGUCUCCAAAAAAAAAAAAAGAUCCUUGUUAUUUUUCUACCCCAGUGUUCUUGGAGGGUGCCUUUCUGAGGUGGCUCCUUGAGUGCCUCUGUAACCUAAAAUUUAGGUGAAACCUUUUACUGUUAGAAUUCAAAGAGCCACAUUCCUUGGGUUAUUUUAUAUUUAUGAGACUUAAUUCCAGUUUAUGUUCCAACUUGCACAUUACAUUCUUUACCUGAUUUAUUGCUACUUGUAAUAAUACCAUUUAUAACACUUUUCAUCCUUAGUUCUCUCAAGUUUUACAUACCUCGAUUCAUUCCAGGUAAGUAAGUGGGUGGUAAGUAGCAGAAUCUCUCAUUUUUCAAGCAAAAAACCCUAAAGGCACAAUAGUGAAGUGACGCCCAACAAAUUAGGGGUAGAGUUGGUAAUAAGAUGAUGGGGUUGACUCAUUACUCAGGCCUCUGAGCUCUGAGGCACUCUCACAAAAUAGCUCAUUUCUUUAAUAGAGUUGAGUUGUGGGGGACACAGACUCUGUGGUCAGACAGAUUUGCAUUCAAAUCCGCUCUACCAUAUACAAACUGUAGAGUCUCGGGAAAAGUACCUUGAAUGCUCUCAGGUUCUGUGUUUUCCUCUGUAAAUUGGAAGUGAUAAUUUGGUCUUCUUUUAUAGGCUUGGGUAGGGAAAUAGGUAAGGAAGUGGUGGAUCAAGUAACACAUAAGAGACGAUCAAUGAUUGUGGUCUUUUCUGUUCUUUGUGUCUUUCAGGCCAUCUUCCCUUGAGCUCAGACCAUUUUAAACAAAGCCUCUUGCUUAAAUCUUUGAGUUAAUUUUAUAAAGGGAACAGUUAGCUUGACCUUCAGUAAAGUGGCUUCUGUUUGAAUUCUGUUCCUCAUCUAUCUGCCAUUGCAUUUUGGAUUAUGUAGAGUUGCAUGAUCUGGCCCUGUGUUACAGGAGUUGGAACAGGGGGAAAUGUGGAGCAUGGUAAAGAAUACUGUGGCUGGCAGGAGGCUGAGGCAGGAGACUUGCUUGAACGCAGGAGGUGGAGGUUGCAGUGAGCCGAGAUUGUGCCACUGCACUCCAGCCUGGCAACAGAGUGAGACCAAAAAAAAUGAAGAAUAUUGUGGUUGGAAUUUUCUAAACUCUGGCACAUCAGAAACACCUGACAUACUAUACAGAUUUGUGGCCCCACCCCUGAGUUUCUGGUUCAGUAUGUCUAAGGUGGGACCUGAAGAUUUUUGCUUUUAACAAUAUUUAGGUGAUGCUGAUGAGGCUGGUCUGGGCCCCACACUGUGAGAAUAACUGGAUGAGGAUAUGCUGUGUGAGGGAGACCUGCAAAAUCUCAAUGGCUUACAACAACAGAGGUUUACUGCUCAUACAACAUAUCCACAUGAGUCAGCUUUUUCUGCAGACUAUUAUGUUUUCGUAUAGUCAGCCUCUCCAAGAUGCUAAGCUUCUAAGCAGCAUGGUCACCAUUUUGAGUUUAUGUUUUUGACAGCAUUUAAUUCAGAAUUCAAUUCCCAAAGUAGACUUCUUGAGCUAUACUGAGAGAGGACGAUCAACAGAUUUCUGGCUUUUUAUUUCAUGCUACUUUUCAAAAUUGCUCCUUCCAUAUAGAAGUCUGAGGUCACAUGGGCUUUUAGCGAGGGUUUUCAAAAUAGGACUGAUCUGUGAAUCAGUAAAUUAAAAAUGUAAAAAUUAAUACAUAUGCAAUAUGUACCUAUUUAGGUACACCUCGUAUUGUUCAAACAAAACAAAAACCCUAAACCAUCUAAAGGGAGGUGAGAGCAAAUAGUCUAGUGAUGAGAACCAAUAUAGUUACUAUUUUUAUAUCAUAAGUUUCACUCUGAGCUUCUGGCAACAAUAAGAGAAGUGUGCUGGAUUGUAUAAUUAUGUCCUCACCCCUCACCCACCCACUGGCUUGAUCUGUUCCACCACCAUCUAGUGUGCUUCGCUUUCCAGUUUCCUUUCUCUCUGCUGGCCCUCAGUUGCUGCUUAUUGUCUUCCUCAAAUUCCUUUCCUGGCUGUAAGAAGUUAACAUUUCUUAUUUUUAUUUUUCUUAUACUAUGUCCUUGAAUUCUAAGUGAGAUGUAUGUAUUCUUCUGGCUUUAACCCAGUGACCUCUACUAAAUCACUCCUUCAGGGAGGCUGGGAGGGCAGUCUAUCUUCUCCAGUGAUCCUAUGAGUGCAGGUCAUGCUUGGCAUCAGAAAGGUCACUUGGCAGGCAGCAAGGCCCGUGGUAGAACUCUAGUUCUUCAAGAGAAGAAAACCAGACUGACAUAAGUGCCAGACCCUAAGGGAAUACAGCUGUGCCAAAUUGGUUUCCUCUUGAGUGUCGUGGCUUCCUAGAAAAAGAUCCUGAAGUCACUUCUCGAGCCUGCAGGAAAGAAUGCUGUGAUCAAUUAGUGACAUCUGCUGAGAUGUUUUCUAUUCCUGCAUUUUGUAGUAAGCCAACUACUAAGAUUAUAUCUUAGGCCCAAUUAAAAAAAAGACAUGGUCCAGAAUUGGGUUAUAUGUGAGAGUUUGUUCUCAAAAACAAGAAAGAAGCCCAGUUCCUAGAACUAGGCUAGCAAAGGACUAGACAUAUAGAUUGAUUUACUACUCAGUCACCUGAAUAUUGAAUUGGGACUCUUCAAUUAUAAUAUAUCCUACUGGUUGUGGGGCCUAGAAUAAGGGCUCAGGCUAUAGUCUGUGGUCUCCUCGCUCAAGCUCGAGGGAAGAAAAGUUUUGGGAGAGCCAGGCAGUAUUGUUAGUAAUGAUAUUAGCUAGUAGACACUUCGUGGUUUGCCAACUGGUGCCCCUUAAGGGUAUUUUGAAUACAAUGGGACCUCCCUUGGAGUCUACCUCUUGGGUCCCCUCUGGCUCUCCUGUGAACAGGACGAUUUUCCCACUCCCCUAAUCAUCAACAUCCCAUGACCAAAAAAACAACAGCUUCAAGAUAGAAGAGACAUAAGCAUUUAUUAAAUUAAUCUUUUUAUAAUAUUUAGUAUCUACUAAUCAGGAGACCUAGAUGCUAGUUCUAGUUCUGCUAAUAACUCACUGGUUUUGGGCAAAUCACUUAACUUUGCAGGGCUUCAGUUGUUUUAAUUUUUAAAAUAAGGGGCUUCGGUUGAUCUUCAUGAUGGAUUCAUGCCCACAAAGUUUAAUGAGCUUUGAUUUAGCCUCCCAGGAAAGUGUUCAAUACAUUUCAUUUAUUCUACAAAUGUUCAUUGUACAUCUAUUUGGAACUGGGCAAUAGGCUGGGCACUAGGGAUACAAAGUCACCUAGUCCCACCCUUCCCCCAAGAGCUUGCAGUUUAAUGGGGAUCAGUGUUUAAUCACCUUGAGCAGAGAGCAGUGUAACUGCUAAGAGCACAGGUUCUGGAGCCAGCCUGCUCAGACAUGAAUCUCAGCUCAUGCGUUUCCUGUGUAUGACCUGGUCAACUUUCUUAACCUCUCCGUGCCUCCAUUUCCUUAUUUUCAAAUGGGGUCCAUCUCAUUUGGAUGAUAUGAGAAUUAAAUGCGUUGAUAAACAACUAUAGAUCAUUGAAACGUUUUCUGGAUGGUAUUAGACAAGUGAGUUUUUAAAGAGUGAUAUUUUGGGAGAGUCUCAUCUCUCAGUCAAACCAGGGCAACUAUCUUCAAAGGUUUUAUAAAUUAGGCAUCUGUGUAACAUUUCAUUUGAAGAAAAGUUUCUACUGCAUAUGCAAACAAACACAAGAAGUUUAAAUAUCAAGGCUUCUGGCUUCGUAUAAGAGAAUAGUUUCUUGAUUAAAAUUAUGUCUAAACUCAGGCAGAUUGGAUCAUACCUGGCUACGAUCUAUACUCUUACAGAAUCAUCAUGGAUGAUGGAACUGUCCACAAGACUGAGGUAAGUAACUAUUACCCUGCUUGAGAAUCACCAACUCAACAGGGCAUGGAAAGCCACAUGCCCAGCUCCUUCAUUUAUGGAAGGAAGGGGUGAAGUGGUAAUAAAAGCUUAUUAGGAAAGACCCUGCUCUGGCCACUGGGUUUGGCCCUUUCUAGACCACUGUGUCCUGGGGUUUGCAUGGAUGGAAUACUUAGAGUCUGAUUUGAUUGAUUGACUCGAGUUUAAUGUUUUUCAUCAUUAAUAUUUCUGAGUGUACUUCUAAAAGAUAAGGACUUUAAAAACACCCACAAUACCAUUAUCACAAGGACAGUUCACACUAAUUCCUUAAUGUAAAACAUCCAAUUAAUGUUCAAAUUUUGGACUUUGACACAAGGUUUAAAGUCAAGCUGAUCCGGUUUUUGUGACCUUUGAAAUAUUAUAUAACCUUCCUGGACCUCAGAUUCCUUAGCUGUGACCUGGGGAAGAAUCUAAUAUCAUUAGAGUUGUGAAUAUUGGAUACAUUUUAUGAAGUCCUAGUAUGAUGCAGUGUAUGUUAAGCAUUUAAUAAACCACUGUUGAGAUGGUGGAAAGAAGUGCCCGGCACAUGGCAGAUACUUAAUAAGUCUUACUUAUUAAGUAAUACUAAUAGCCAGUAUUACUAAGCAAACAAUUUUUAUAUAGUAAAUGCUAGGUCCAUAGACAGGAGACCAUGCCUAAAGGGCUAGGAAACAAAAACCUUACAGAAGAGGUGGUAGUAACAAGGCAGAUGGACAAGACCAAGUGGGGCAGGGAAAGGGCACUCCAGAUGGAGGGAGAACUGAACUAAAGGAUGGGCAAGCCACUGGCUCCCAGGUGCCUUUCUAGAAAGGGUACAAAAAUACCUCUAGAGAAAGAAAUAUGAUGCCUGUAGUUUUCCCACAUUAUUAUGGGGAAAAUACCUCUAGAGAAAGAAAUAUGUUUGGCUGUAGUUUUCCCACAUUAUUAUGUAAUGGGUAAAAUGCAAAGUGGUCUGGCUCCUGUUUUGGACAUGCAAUCUCUGGUUCUAGUUUUUUUUUUUCUCGAGACAGAGUUUCACUCUUGUUGCCCAGGCUGGAGUUGAGUGGUGCAAUCUCUGAUCACUACAACCUCUGCCUCCUGGGUUCAAGAGAUUCUCCUGCUCCAGCCUCCCAAGUAGCUGGGAUUACAGGUGCACACCAGGUGCCUGGCUAAUUUUGUAUUUUUGGUAGAGAUGAUGUUUCACUAUGUUGGCCAGGCUGGUCUCAAACUCCUGACCUCAGGUGAUCCACCCAUGUCAGCCUCCCAAAAUGCUGGGAUUACUGGCUUGAGCCACCGUGCCCUGCGUAAUCUCUGGUUCUUAAUUUGAACAUGUCACAGGGGAAAAAAUUGCUGUGUAUAAUCUCCACUGUCUUCAAGGAGGGUGAAUCUUGGUAACUAGAUAAUCUUUUGUUUUCUAAUGACAAAUUCCUCAAUCUCAGUAUAAAGCAUUAAGUAUGCAAACUUAGAAAAUGAAACUGGGAAAAGUGAAAUAGCUUUACAUAAAAAGGGAGAGAUGGGAGAGGUACCAAGAAGAUGAAGGAGAAAAGGCAGUAUGCUGGAAGGGAGAGAGAGAGGAGACCCCACCCCUGGGGAUGUGGGAGCUGGGGAAAGGCACACAGUGUCCUUAAGCUGAUUUCUGCUUUGGACUUUUGGAGUUCAGUAAAGCCAAUUGGCCCCUUUUCAAAAUUUUUAAACACACAAGAGAUACAGGAUUUUUAAAAACAGUUAUAGUAAAAUAGUAAUAAAAAAAUUUUAAAUCACAUUUGUUUGGGGGGAAGAAGUGGUGAAUAGGUAGAGUACUGGAGAUUUUUAGGGCAGUGAAACUAUUCUGCAUGAUACUGUAAUGGUGUAGCCACCCAACUGGUUCCUCUGGCCCGCUGCAUGGACAGCUGAUUUAUCAAGACAGGAAUUGCAAUAAAGAGUAAUUCCCACAGAGCUUGCUGUGCAGGAGACAGGAGUUUUAUUAUUAUUCACAUCAGUCUCCUAGAACUUUUGGGGAUCAGAAUUUUUAAGGAUAGUUUGGUGGGGGGUUGGGGGCCGGUGAGUCAGGAAUGCUGAUUAGUUAGGUCAGAGAUGAAAUCACAGGGAGUCGAAGCCUUCCUCUUGCCCUGAGUCAGUUCCUGAGUGGGGGCCAUGAGACCAGAUGAGCCAGUUCAUUGAUCUGGGUGGUGGCAGCUGAUCCAUCAAGUGCAGGGUCUGCACAAUACCUCAAGCACCGAUCUUGGGUUUUACAAUAGUGAUGUUAACCCCAGGAGAGAUUUGGGGAGGGUCAGAAUCUUGUAGCUUCCAGAUGCCUGACUCCUUCACCAUAAUUUCUAAUCUUGUGGCUAAUUUGUUAGUCCUCCGAAGGCAGUCAAGUCCCCAGGCAGGAAGGGGUUUUGUUUUGGGAAAGGGCUGUUAUUAUCUUUGUUUCAAAGUUAAACUGUAAACUAAGUUCCUCCUAAAGUUAGUUUGGCCUAUGCCCAGGAAUAAACAGGACAGCAUGGAGGUUAGAAGCAAGAUGGAGUUAGGUCAGAUCUCUUUCACUGUAAUCAUUUUCUAGUUAUAAUUUUGCAAUCGGGGUUUCAGUGGUGGGUAAAUGAUAUUAUACAUGUCAAAAUGCAUAAAAUGUACAUCACCAAAAGUGAACCCUAAUGUGCACUAUGGACUUUGGGUGACAAUGCUUUCUCAAUGUUGGUUCAUCAAUUGUAACAAAUGGUUACUAUUCUGGUGCAAGAUACCCAUGGUGGCGAAGGCUAGGCAUGCAUGUCGGGGAGGGAACAUGGGAACUCUGUACCUUCCACUCCAUUUUGCUGUGAACCUAACAGUACUUUAAGAAAUAGUUGGUAUGUUUUUAAAAUCCUACAUUUGUACUAUACUAAUAAAUACAUUUUUUUAUUAACACUUAAGAAGCUCUAGCACUGAGUCUAACUACCAUCAUUCAAAUUAGUGAUGACUAUAAACAAUAUUUCAAGAUAUCCAAAACUAUUGUAAUGCGACAUGAAAAUGACUCUGAUUUCUACUGGUGAAAAAAAUCACAAGUACUGCUAAUUCUAUUGUGGUUUAUUACAUUGAUAAUGAAAGGAAAUGCUAAAUUUCAAUUACAAGUAAUUGAAAAUGAAGAUGGAAAUUAUUUUCCAUCCCAGCUCAGUGACCACUUCCUCAAAUGUCAUCCAGGACACCCUUCGGGGAGGAGGGUAUCCUAUGGAUCCCCGAUUACGGACGCUCUGUCUAGACCUAGAAUACAAUUGGUCCAAUUUCCUUAUCUCAAAGACUAUUGCUAUGUUCCAUUUUUGUCUUCUAAGGUUUUAACAACUCAUCUGUUUUUCUCUUUGUUGUCUGGCAAGUAAUGCCAGUGAUUUCUAGAGCCAGGUGACCCCUUGCAUAUUCCCAGUGUCUUCUGAAAUCAAACCUGCCCGUGACAUGAACUGAAGCAAUGUCCUGAGACAUCGUAGCUUAUUGCUGAGAAGAAGGAGGGAGUACCACUUAUGGGAUCUUCAAACUUCCUUUUUUUUUUUUUUUUUUUUUGAGACAGAGUCUUGCUCUGUCGCAGGCUAAAGUGCAGUGGCACAAUCUCGGCUCACUGCAACCUCCUAGGUUCAAGCCAUUCUCCUGCCUCAGCCUCCCAAAUAGCUGGGACUAUAGGCAUGCACCACCAUGCCCAGCUAAUUUUUGUAUUUUUAGUAGAGAUGGAUUUUCACCACGUUGGCCAGACUGGUCUCAAACUCCUGACCUCAAGUGAUCCACCUGCUGUGCAGGAGACAGGAGUCUCCCAAAGUGCUGAGAUUAUAGGCGUAAGCCACUGUGCCCAGCCUGGGAUCUUCAGACUUUCUAGUUGUCCUUUCAUGUUGGGUGCUGGAAAGAUGUCUCUCCUUCGUUGGUUACUAAUAACAAUUUGUACUGUGUUUAUGGUACUUUUGAACUUCAAAAGAUUUGGCCAGUAUUAAUAGCUAAUGAUACUUCAGUUCUAAUGUUGACUUGUUGAGGGUAGGAUUGCUUUCUCUGGUGAAUGUUGCCCCACUAUUUCUGAGAUCUUAUUGAGGUGAAUAAAAGGGAAAUAUGCCCAGGGACAAUUAAACUAUUGUUGACCCAGAUAGUGUCUACUACUCACAUGGAAGAUGUGCCCCUCAGGCUAGUGAUGGCAUAUAACUAUGUGGAUAAAUGAAUCCAUUUCUUCCUCACUGAGCCCCAAAUCCUCCUCAAGACAAUAUUCCUGGUGAUAUGGACAGGAGGCAGGGAAAUCCUGGGUAGAAGUGGACAGCCCCCAGUGAGGGCCACACCCUCAAGCCUGGGACCAUGGCCCAAAGUGACAACAUGCAUUCCUGUUUUCCCACCCAAAUGUUGCCUUUUACAAGACCACCCGGCCUGCCCUCCCCUUGAUUCUGUACCUAGAAAAUCCCCAGGCUCCAAUGGCAGAGGUGCACCAGAGUGGCUGAGAGGCAGAGUGGAGCAGCAGAAAAGGAGAGAAGAGAAGAAGCAGCCAGACAUCAGAGAGAAGCAGCUUGACUUCAGAGGGAAGUUUGACAGUGGGACUUUGGAGAAGAGUUCAGCUGAGGAUGGCCAACUCUGCGGUCCUAUGAUGAUUUCUUAGGUUUGAGGGACCUUUUCUUGCAUUUGUGUCGAUGAGGGGAAGGCCUGCUGCUGAAUAGAUCUAAACUGUGAAUGAAUGUAGCUGCCUCCCAUGCUAUCAUGACAAGAGGCCUCGGUCCAUCUGACUCACGCAUCAAGGUCUUACGGGAGGACAACUUUCAAGUUCAUGGGGGUGCUGUCAUGAGCACACAGUGGCAGCUGCACCAGGCAGGUGUGAAGCAGUGAGAUUCCUUGUGGAACUACCACCAGUGUCAGAGGGUUACUACACAGUAACUCCGAUACCUCCCCUACUGGGAACUUGAAUGACCUUUUGAAUCUGACAAUUCUGGACAAUAACUACUUGUAAAGACAGUGGACACCAAGCAUGAGGAGGGAGUAUAAAGGGGUGGCUAGAGUCUAAGAGGGCAUAGUUUGACUCUUGGCUUCUCCACUCACCAGGAAACCUUGGCCAGAUCACUCUCAAUAACUCAGUUUCUUCAUCUAUAAAAUGGGAAUAAUCAUUGCAUUUUCUCCCUGUCUUGAGGAAUAUGGGAGGCAGUGCACAUCCAGCUAAUUUCAUAAUUUGGUCUUUAUUUAAGUGGUAUUAUACUUAACA